UCCUACGGGAGGCAGCAGUGGGGAAUAUUGCACAAUGGGCGAAAGCCUGAUGCAGCAACGCCGCGUGAGUGAUGAAUGCCUUCGGGUCGUAAAACUCUGUCCUCAAGGAAGAUAAUGACGGUACUUGGGGAGGAAGCCCCGGCUAACUACGUGCCAGCAGCCGCGGUAAUACGUAGGGGGCUAGCGUUAUCCGGAUUUACUGGG
rnacentral:rRNA from 1 species